rnacentral:rRNA from 1 species
AUUGAACGCUGGCGGCAGGCCUAACACAUGCAAGUCGAGCGGGGUUUUCGGACCUAGCGGCGGACGGGUGAGUAAUGCGUAGGAAGCUACCCGAUAGAGGGGGAUACCAGUUGGAAACGACUGUUAAUACCGCAUAAUGUCUACGGACCACAGUGUGGGACCUUCGGGCCACAUGCUAUCGGAUGCGCCUACGUGGGAUUAGCUAGUUGGUGAGGUAAUGGCUCACCAAGGCGACGAUCCCUAGCUGGUUUGAGAGGAUGAUCCGCCACACUGGAACUGAGACACGGCCCAGCCUCCUACGGGAGGCAGCAGUGGGGAAUAUUGGACAAUGGGCGCAAGCCUGAUCCAGCCAUGCCGCGUGUGUGAAGAAGGCCUUCGGGUUGUACAGCACUUUCAGUAGGGAGGAAGGGUGUUGUGUUAAUAGCACAGCAUUUUGACGUUACCUACAGAAGAAGCACCGGCUAACUCUGUGCCAGCCGCCGCGGUAAAAC